rnacentral:sRNA from 3 species
AUAUCUCUCUGUACGGGAAGGAUGAGAAGCUUCGACUAAGGUUCGAUUCGAGCGCAGCGAGAAAGCGUUGCCGCAGGCAACGACCCGAAGGGCGAAGCGCGCAGCGCUGAGUCAUCCUUCCCCACCACCA